rnacentral:rRNA from 1 species
UACGUAGGGGGCAAGCGUUGUCCGGAUUUAUUGGGUGUAAAGAGCUCGUAGGCGGUUCCGUAAGUCGUGAAGUCAAAUCUCUGGGCUCAACCCAGAAUCGCUUCCGAUACUGCGGUGACUGGAGUCCGGUAGGGGAGUGUGGAAUUUCUGGUGUAGCGGUGAAAUGCGUAGAUAUCAGAAGGAACAUCAGUGGCGAAAGCGGCUUCCUGGACCAGAACUGACGAUCAGGCACGAAAGCGUGGGGAGCAAACAGG